rnacentral:rRNA from 1 species
UGGCGGCGUGGUUAAGACAUGCAAGUCGAACGAGAGAAUUGCUAGCUUGCUAAUAAUUCUCUAGUGGCGCACGGGUGAGUAACACGUGAGUAACCUGCCCCCGAGAGCGGGAUAGCCCUGGGAAACUGGGAUUAAUACCGCAUAGUAUCGAAAGAUUAAAGCAGCAAUGCGCUUGGGGAUGGGCUCGCGGCCUAUUAGUUAGUUGGUGAGGUAACGGCUCACCAAGGCGAUGACGGGUAGCCGGUCUGAGAGGAUGUCCGGCCACACUGGAACUGAGACUCGGUCCAGGCACCUACGGGUGGCAGCAGUCGAGAAUCAUUCACAAUGGGGGAAACCCUGAUGGUGCGACGCCGCGUGGGGGAAUGAAGGUCUUCGGAUUGUAAACCCCUGUCAUGUGGGAGCAAAUUAAAAAGAUAGUACCACAAGAGGAAGAGACGGCUAACUCUGUGCCAGCAGCCGCGGUAAUACAGAGGUCUCAAGCGUUGUUCGGAAUCACUGGGCGUAAAGCGUGCGUAGGCUGUUUCGUAAGUCGUGUGUGAAAGGCGCGGGCUCAACCCGCGGACGGCACAUGAUACUGCGAGACUAGAGUAAUGGAGGGGGAACCGGAAUUCACGGUGUAGCA